rnacentral:lncRNA from 1 species
UCUGUUACCUCUAUAAUAUACUCCAGAAAAAGCCCAUUUCUUCCCAUCCCCCAUUCCUCAAACAAAAUCGACAGAGAGACUUUACCUUUCUCCACCCCUCUGCGUACUAGGAUACCUCCUGCAACCCCAUUUGCAGGGGUAUAAACCCAAUCCACCUUACUGCCAUACCACAUAUUGCGAACAACUUGCAACCAAUCCACUCUUUAAAAUACCCU